rnacentral:rRNA from 1 species
CUCCAAGCGGUGAUGUCGACUUGGAGGUUGUGCCCUUGAGGCGUGGCUUCCGGAGCUAACGCGUUAAGUCGACCGCCUGGGGAGUACGGCCGCAAGGUUAAAACUCAAAUGAAUUGACGGGGGCCCGCACAAGCGGUGGAGCAUGUGGUUUAAUUCGAUGCAACGCGAAGAACCUUACCUGGUCUUGACAUCCACGGAAGUUUUCAGAGAUGAGAAUGUGCCUUCGGGAACCGUGAGACAGGUGCUGCAUGGCUGUCGUCAGCUCGUGUUGUGAAAUGUUGGGUUAAGUCCCGCAACGAGCGCAACCCUUAUCCUUUGUUGCCAGCGGUCCGGCCGGGAACUCAAAGGAGACUGCCAGUGAUAAACUGGAGGAAGGUGGGGAUGACGUCAAGUCAUCAUGGCCCUUACGACCAGGGCUACACACGUGCUACAAUGGCGCAUACAAAGAGAAGCGACCUCGCGAGAGCAAGCGGACCUCAUAAAGUGCGUCGUAGUCCGGAUUGGAGUCUGCAACUCGACUCCAUGAAGUCGGAAUCGCUAGUAAUCGUGGAUCAGAAUGCCACGGUGAAUACGUUCCCGGGCCUUGUACACACCGCCCGUCACACCAUGGGAGUGGGUUGCAAAAGAAGUAGGUAGCUUAACCUUCGGGAGGGCGCUUACCACUUUGUGAUUCAUGACUGGGGUGAAGUCGUAAAAAGGGUAACCACAAGCCGGGGGGGGGCAAAGCGGGGGGGGGUUU